rnacentral:rRNA from 1 species
GGUCUUAGCUUGCUAAGGCUGAUGGCGACCGGCGCACGGGUGAGUAACACGUAUCCAACCUGCCGUCUACUCUUGGCCAGCCUUCUGAAAGGAAGAUUAAUCCAGGAUGGGAUCAUGAGUUCACAUGUCCGCAUGAUUAAAGGUAUUUUCCGGUAGACGAUGGGGAUGCGUUCCAUUAGAUAGUAGGCGGGGUAACGGCCCACCUAGUCAACGAUGGAUAGGGGUUCUGAGAGGAAGGUCCCCCACAUUGGAACUGAGACACGGUCCAAACUCCUACGGGAGGCAGCAGUGAGGAAUAUUGGUCAAUGGGCGAUGGCCUGAACCAGCCAAGUAGCGUGAAGGAUGACUGCCCUAUGGGUUGUAAACUUCUUUUAUAAAGGAAUAAAGUCGGGUAUGCAUACCCGUUUGCAUGUACUUUAUGAAUAAGGAUCGGCUAACUCCGUGCCAGCAGCCGCGGUAAUACGGAGGAUCCGAGCGUUAUCC